CCACGGUGACAUGCGUUGGCUUGAUGGGAACAUCAUCCCUCAAGUGAAUUGCCAUGGGAGGACCGUGCAUUGGCUUGAGGACUUCAGAAGCAUCAAAAACGGACGGAAACUUGUCCAAGAGAGCCGUAAUACCGGUUUUGAUCUUCUUCUCGGUUGGUUCAGGCAUGACUAAACGGACGUCCACUUUUGGGAUUGAUUGGACGUCCUCUGGAAGACAUGGAAAUGUUGAAGAUAACAUUCCUAGAGGAAUCAUGGAGUGCCAGAAAAGAAGAAUCUGGUCCUUGAUAUUGGGUGUGACGUAUGCCCAAAGAACAGUUGAGUGAUUUUGAGCUCAACAACACCAAAACAUUGCAUUUUUUAAUUAUUGGCUGCUCGGAUAGAACGAGAUUGUGACCAAUCUAUCUGGAUUCCGUAGGUUUUAACCAGAUCCGCCGAGAUCAAAGUUUUGGUGGCACCAGUAUCUGGAAGGAUGACCAUGUGGAAUGGAGUUCCGGAACGCGGACGAACCUCAACUUCGGCAGUUGGAGUCGGACGGGCCUUGACCAUAUUUACGUGGAUUACCGUGGAAUUGAUGGUCCUUGAAUUUCUGGAUGAAGCAUCGCGGGAUUUGGAUCGGCCACGCCACGUCCGUCCACGUGUACAAAUUGAAGAAAAAUGGCCGAUCUUGUCGCAUUUGUGACAUGUCCUGUCUCGUGCUGGACAAUGUUCACGAGACAAACCCCCUGGAUGUGACGAACCGCCACAGCCCAGACAUUUCCAAUCCCGAUCCGUUGAGGAAGAAACCGCCGCAAUUGUGGUUGCAUGAUCACUCUAAGAAAGUGUGGAUUCUACCACGUGGGCGGACUCCCAAGCCAUUGCUAUGCAAUGGAGGAUAUCGCGUGAAGGGUUGGGUUGGCAAAGGAAUUCCUCCCGUAGCCGUCGAUCUGAUGUGCCUGUGACAAGGCGAAGAACAUACAAUUCCUCCUCACCAAUCGUGGAUAAUUCGGCCUCCUCUCCCUCAAGUUGCAGACGGAGAUACCAAUUACUGAACUUUUCACCAGGUCGUUGAUCGCAUCGGAAAAAGUUAUAGCGUCUGAUAACUGUUUGAGCAUGGAAUUCUCCUUCGAGAUCGAGUCGGCGUCCAAGAUUUCGCAAGGAGAUUCGAAGGCGUCUUCCAAACUUGCCAAAGACGUCUCCACCUUGGUGAAUAGCGAGUUCAUUCGGUCCACCAUAGAUGUAUCCAAUCCGGACGUGUCUAAAGAAUCCACAUCGGUGACGAAAGUAUCACAGGAAUUGAGAUGACGGGAGAAAAUGCCCUUUGUGGCCGACAAAAUUUUCUUGGCCGCUUCCAUAGCUUGAAAAUUGAAUAGAAUACAAGAUUCUUGGGUUUCGAGGAGUUCGAUGGGGCACAAGAAUCUUAGUGGAUGUUCGAGAAGAUUAAAGAAGCUCGUCGAAGAAGAACGUUACAACGUGAAGAACGUAGUCGAUUCCACAUACCGACCACGCCAUGUUAAGUAUUCGUAAUUAACAAGCCGAUUAUUCUUUUUACUGGAAUAGUAGUGGAUGGGUAGAAGGGUAAAGAAGAAGUGUCUAGAACAGAAGGGAGUUACUAGAGGGAGCCAGAGUAGGGAAAUCAAGUAUUGGAAUGGAUGGCUAGAUCAUGACUUAUCAGCCACCUAAAGAUUGAGUCUUAAAAAUCCAGAUUUUGGCCAUUGGUCCGGUCUGUUCUGAAAGAAUUUAUAGCAUUUCCAUGAGGGUCUCCAGUUUCCAAUGGUUUGAAAGUGAACACUGAAAGGCUCACCAACGUUCCUUUGUAUUUGCCGGCCUUCAGGAUGCCUUUAGACUUGGGUCUGACCUUCAGACUGCGCUCACUUGAAUUUUCAGACAUUGUUUUGACGGCACUUUAUAAGAGGGCUACCCAUUGCUUCCAGGAUAUCAAACCAUUUGUAAUAUGUGAUUAGGUUCAUAACAAUUCCUCUUAAUGAAUGCUUGUGGUUUAAUGUCAAAAAAAUCUUCGAGUAGAGAAAAAUGUUGUGAAAAACAGCCAUGGAGGCCCUUAAUUUCUUUACACCCUUUAGGUUUGGCAUCACCAAAAGUGUGUACAAGAAGUUUGGGGCAAUCGUCCAGAAUAGCCGAAAACAUACAAGUCGGCAUAGUAGUCAAAAUAGACAGUGCUGGGGUGUUUGAUUGGCUCAAAUGACCCAAAAUACGUCGCCCAGAUUGUGGGUCAUACAAAGUGACGUGAUAACGUAAGGGCAAGACCAUUAUUACUAGCUGGCAAGACAUUCACUUAAAGGCCAAAUUAAACCAGGUAGGUCAUAUUGCUAAUUGUAACAUAAGAGUAAUUAACCACCAAUUUUGGAGGCCGUCUUCCAAGAGUAUUUGGGCCCCAGAUUUACUAGAUUUGGAAGAAGUGGCAAAAUAACAUUGGGGCUCACAAUGUCUUCUUUCCCCACUUCUGAUGAAGGCGGCACCAACCCUGAUGAGGGGGUGAAAAUCCGACCGUAUGCGCUGCUUGGGUUCAGUAACCGCAGAAGGGUAGCCCGAGAGAGAUUUCCUCUAAUUUCAUGCUUGAGUGGA